AUUUGGUGGUGCGGGCAAAUGACACAUAACUUUUUAAAUCUCUCCCAGUAUUCAUAUAGGCUCUCUCCAUUGAAUUGUCUAAUACCUGAAAUAUCCUUUCUGAUGGU
rfam:Glycine max cultivar Williams 82 chromosome 7, whole genome shotgun sequence.